rnacentral:rRNA from 1 species
AGUGAACGCUGGCGGUAGGCCUAACACAUGCAAGUCCAACGGCAGCACAGUAAGAGCUUGCUCUUACGGGUGGCGAGUGGCGGACGGGUGAGGAAUACAUCGGAAUCUACUUUUUCGUGGGGGAUAACGUAGGGAAACUUACGCUAAUACCGCAUACGACCUACGGGUGAAAGCAGGGGAUCUUCGGACCUUGCGCGAUUGAAUGAGCCGAUGUCGGAUUAGCUAGUUGGCGGGGUAAAGGCCCACCAAGGCGACGAUCCGUAGCUGGUCUGAGAGGAUGAUCAGCCACACUGGAACUGAGACACGGUCCAGACUCCUACGGGAGGCAGCAGUGGGGAAUAUUGGACAAUGGGCGCAGGCCUGAUCCAGCCAUACCGCGUGGGUGAAGAAGGCCUUCGGGUUGUAAAGCCCUUUUGUUGGGAAAGAAAAGCAGCAGGUUAAUACCCCGCUGUUCUGACGGUACCCAAAGAAUAAGCACCGGCUAACUUCGUG